rnacentral:snRNA from 1 species
GGAUGUGAGGGCGAUCUGGCUGUGACAUCUGUCACCCCAUUGAUCGCCAGGGUUGAUUCGGCUGAUCUGGCUGGCUAGGCGGGUGUCCCCUUCCUCCCUCACCGCUCCAUGUGCGUCCCUCCCGAAGCUGUGCGCUCGGUCGAAGAGGACGGCCUUCCCCGAAUAGAGACGGACGGGUCUUCGNNNNNN